GUAGAAUCUAUUGUUGUCAAGAGAUUGAUGUUUUUUUUUAUCAAAAAAAAAAAGUGAUUGAUGUUAUUACAUUAAUCUUGAAUUAAAUAUCCAGAAUAUACCAAUUUAUUUUGCAGAUUAGUUAUUGUUAGUGCAAAUUUUUUAUUGAAGGAAUUUCUGUAAUAUAAAUAUUUUUUCAUUGGCACAAAUCAAAACAGUAAUGUUCUUUAUCAGCAUUUGUUACAUAUAUUAUUUUUAAUUCUAAACAUCUAACAAUAAUAAAAGGGGAAUAUGGUGCAAGGAGAAGCAUGCCACGUCAGUUUAAAAAAUCAACCAAUAUGGAUUCUCUAUUUUGCCAUGUCAAAUCGUCUUUCAUUUUAAAUAGUUUUAACCGGGCCAUUCAUGUGGGUUGCUCAAUAUUUCGAAUUGGCCCAUUUUAAAUCCACCUCUCACAUACCUAUUGAUUGUUCUUUGUUGAUCUCCGACUCUUCAAAUACGUCUUGGUCGUUCCAUUUAUCUGCAAUUCACUGUAUCCAAACCCAAUCUUUUUCAUUCAAUUAUGUUUUUAAUCCGGAACCACGAUUUUGUUCUACCUCCUUUUGUUCCUCCUCCUCCUCCUUUAUAAAUCCCCUCAUCCAAUGGUUCUUCUAAUCAAAAUUUUCCACUGAAAAAUAUAAAGCAAUAGCUAUGAACUCUGUUAAGUCCACCGGAAUGGCUCCCGCUACCACCAGAAAGGCUUCCCGCUCCCGUCGCCAUGUACUUUAAUUUAUUUGUUUGAUAUGGAAUCUCUUAUCUCUUACGUCUCCUGUCGAUUUUAUGAUUUGCUUAUGUGAAACUGGGACUAUAAAUAGUUUGAUCUCAUGUGUUUUUUUGGUUGUAGAAGAUAGUUUAUAGAUCGGCUAAUUUAAAGGGGUUAAUCUGGUCCGGAGUUGAUGAUCUCGACAAACUUCAUUUCCGACAUUCUGAGUCUAAUACUGACUAAGAAUGUGUUUUCUAAUCUUUUUUGUACACUGGUAUACGACCUCAAAAGUAAUUACGCGAAGACCUUGAGUCGGAACGAUGUUAAAAAUAUUGUUAAUACAGGUUUUUAUACUCUUGGUGAUAGCUUUUGUGUGUUUGUUACUGCAGGUGCGAAGGGGAAGUUCUUUGGUGAAUUUGAUAUCUCUGGUUUCUGUGAAACACAGAAAGGGGCAAGAAAAAAACAGAAGGUUAGAUACAUAUCAAUUGACAUCAUAACCGAUUUGCUUGAAGGUUAGCUUCCUAACGUACCGGUUUAAUUGGAUGCGUUGAUGUGUUUCUGAGGGGUUGAU